ACAAUGCAGGGAGCUCUGACGUGAGGGACAUGGUGGGUUGUGAACACAGACCAGGGCAGGAAUCUGACCUCUAGUGAGAAGCCCUGGGAGGUGUUGCUCAUUACAAGAACCCAGGAAAAGGCUAAGGAGAAAUACUCCACCUAGCUGCCUCCUUCCUACCACAGUCCAUCUUGUAGGAGUGUGUGUGGAUCACUAGGCCCAGAGUCAGGAGCCGGAGACCUGACAAGGGCUUGGAAUUAUUAUUUGGAUUUUGUUAUCCCAAAGGCAGUGGGAAUAAAUUGUGGCCGGGCUGGAAAGCCAAGUUGUGAGAAGAGGCUGACCACCGUGAGACCAGAAUGUCCGUCAGCAAGGGGCUCAUGACAGAGCUGCUACGCUGCGCCUGGCCAGGAGGUCCUUAGCCUGCCCCUGGUUCACCAGCUGUCAAUUCCUUUGAAGCAGGAGGUGGAAAUAAUCCCACAAUGAGGAAUAGAGAGGAAUUAAAAUGUGCAGAACCCUUGAUGCUGUGGGGAGGAAGAUGCAUGACCAGUAGGGAAUCCAAUGAGAUUCGCCUUGCAGAGAACAACAGUUUCAGGUCCAUGUUGAAGCCACUUACCCAGUGGGGCAUUUUCCCCGCUUGUGGAUCAUGAUGAUGAAACUGAAGAACCAGGACGGUUACCACCACCGAGAGACCAACAAUGACCAUGAUGCUAGCGAAAUAUUGAGCUGCAAUUAAAAAAUAACAAAGACAAGUGGUGCUUAACUUUGCCGAUGACAUUGCUUUCCCGAGGAUCAUGUGGAAUGGAAUGACUGCCCUUACAUCAGAGAGAGAACAGAAAGCAGCAAAAAUUGGAUUGAAAGCAAAUGCAGAGAAGACCAAUAUUAUGAAGGGAGGAAACUGGACAACAGAUACAAAGGUGCAUGUGGAUGGAAAAAAAACCAAACAGGUAGAGUUCUGCCACUUGGGGAGAGUGAUGACAUUUGAAGAUGGCUGUGAGCGAGAGAUUCAUCCGAGAUUAGGAAAAACAAACACUGCUUUUGGAAGGAUGAACAACCUGUAGUCACAUAGAGGUCAUCUACCAAACUACAGGUCACGUUAUACCAUGCGAUUGUACUGAGCACACUACUGUACAGAGAAGAGACUUGGCCAAUGACAGUGGCUAACCAAAGGAGAUUGGAGGCUGCCCAUCACAGAUGGCUAAAGAAGAUACUACACAUUUCGUAGAAAGACAAAAUAACUAAAGCGAGAGCCAGGAAGCCGACAGAGCAGGAGUUUAGAAAAGGCCAACAAAGAGAGAAGUCUCAGGUGGUUGGGAUGUAUGCCCUGUUUGGAAGAUGCUAAGCAAGCAGUGAAUGGGGUAGUCAGGGGAGGAAAGAGAAAGUAUGGAAGGCCAAGGAAGAACAGGCAGAAGACAGUGACAGAGGAUUGAAUGCGCUGUCAUCACUGAGGAAGAGGUCCCAUAACUAGCGAAUGACCACAAUCAAUAGAGGAUGUGUCAGCGGCCCAGGAGAAACUAAAGUCUAAGGCAGGGGUAGGCAACCUAUGGCACGCGUGCCAAAGGCAGCAUGCGAACUGAUUUUCAGUGGCACUCACAUUGCUGGGUCCUGGCCACCA